CACGGGGGGGAGCAAGCGUUGUUCGGAUUCAUUGGGCGUAAAGAGCUCGUAGGUGGCUCUGUAAGUAGGUGGUGAAAGCCCACGGCUCAACCGUGGAUACGCCUCCUAAACUGUGGAGCUUGAGGCUGGGAGAGGAAAAUCGGAAUUCCUGGUGUAGCGGUGAAAUGCGUAGAUAUCAGGAGGAACACCGGUGGCGAAGGCGACUUUCUGGUCUGUAACUUGACACUGGAGGCG
rnacentral:rRNA from 1 species